rnacentral:rRNA from 1 species
GACGAACGCUGGCGGCGUGCUCAACACAUGCAAGUCGAACGAUGAGCCCGGAGCUUGCUCCGGCGGAUUAGUGGCGAACGGGUGAGUAACACGUGAGUAACCUGCCCUUGACUCUGGGAUAACUGCGGGAAACUGUAGCUAAUACCGGAUACGACCCUCGGCGGCAUCGCCAGGGGGUGGAAAGAAUUUCGGUCAAGGAUGGACUCGCGGCCUAUCAGCUAGUUGGUGAGGUAACGGCUCACCAAGGCGACGACGGGUAGCCGGCCUGGGAGGGUGACCGGCCACACUGGGACUGAGACACGGCCCAGACUCCUACGGGAGGCAGCAGUGGGGAAUAUUGCACAAUGGGCGCAAGCCUGAUGCAGCAACGCCGCGUGAGGGAUGACGGCCUUCGGGUUGUAAACCUCUUCUAGUAGGGAAGAAGCGAAAGUGACGGUACCUGCAGAAAAAGCACCGGCUAACUACGUGCCAGCCGCCGCAGUAA